GUAACUAUUAUGUUUUUUCAGACGCUGAUUUCAAUUACAAAGGGUUUAAGUUUGUCCAAUCGGCGGGCGGACCCGCCGAGGAAACGAAGGUACUCAAAAGACAUGGGUAAGAGAUGGUAGGCAAAGCCUACAACUCUAGGUAAUGAUCCUUCCGCAGGUUCACCUACGGAAA
rnacentral:misc_RNA from 1 species